CCUCCAUAGCCGGAUUGGUGGAUA
rnacentral:siRNA from 1 species